rnacentral:rRNA from 1 species
AAUACGUAGGUGGCAAGCGUUAUCCGGAAUUAUUGGGCGUAAAGCGCGCGUAGGCGGUUUUUUAAGUCUGAUGUGAAAGCCCACGGCUCAACCGUGGAGGGUUAUUGGAAACUGAAAAACUUGAGUGCAGAAGAGGAAAGUGGAAUUCCAUGUGUAGCGGUGAAAUGCGCAGAGAUAUGGAGGAACACCAGUGGCGAAGGCGACUUUCUGGUCUGUAACUGACGCUGAUGUGCGAAAGCGUGGGGAUCAAACAGGAUUAGAUACCCUGGUAGUCCACGCCGUAAACGAUGAGUGCUAAGUGUUAGGGGGUUUCCGCCCCUUAGUGCUGCAGCUAACGCAUUAAGCACUCCGCCUGGGGAGUACGGCCGCAAGGCUUAAACUCAAAGGAAUUGACGGGGACCCGCACAAGCGGUGGAGCAUGUGGUUUAAUUCGAAGCAACGCGAAGAACCUUACCAAAUCUUGACAUCCUUUGACCGCUCUAGAGAUAGAGUUUUYCUUCGGGGGACAAAGUGACAGGUGGUGCAUGGUUGUCGUCAGCUCGUGUCGUGAGAUGUUGGGUUAAGUCCCGCAACGAGCGCAACCCUUAAGCUUAGUUGCCAUCAUUUAGUUGGGCACUCUAAGUUGACUGCCGGUGACAAACCGGAGGAAGGUGGGGAUGACGUCAAAUCAUCAUGCCCCUUAUGAUUUGGGCUACACGUGCUACAAUGGACAAUACAAAGGGCAGCGAAACCGCGAGGUCAAGCAAAUCCCAUAAAGUUGUUCUCAGUUCGGAUUGUAGUCUGCAACUCGACUACAUGAAGCUGGAAUCGCUAGUAAUCGUAGAUCAGCAUGCUACGGUGAAUACGUUCCCGGGUCUGGUACAAACCGCCCGU